GGGGGGCCAAAUAGCGGGCGUUCACCAUGCAGUCGAGGGGUAGAAGGUCUUCGGAUCUUUGAGACCGGCGAACGGGUGAGUCCCAUGUAGGUAAUCUGCCACGAGGUUGGGGAUAGCCCUUGGAAACAUGGGGUAAUACCGAAUGAGCUCCUUUGUUGUGAGAUGAAGGAGGAAAGGCGCUUCGGCGUCGCCUUGUGAUGAGCCUGCGGCUGAUUAGGUAGUUGGUGGGGUAACGGCCUACCAAGCCGACGAUCAGUAGCCGGCCUGAGAGGGUGACCGGCCACACUGGGACUGAGAUACGGCCCAGACCGCUACGGUGGGCAGCAGGUAAGAAUCUUCCGCAAUGGACGAAAGUCUGACGGAGCGACGCCGCGUGGGUGAAGAAGGCCGUGAGGUUGUAAAGCCCUUUUCUACCUGAGGAAUAAGCCCCAGAGGGAAUGCUGGGGUGAUGACGGUAGGGUAGGAAUAAGCCCCGGCUAAUUACGUGCCAGCAGCCGCGGUAACACGUAUGGGGCGAGCGUUGUUCGGAUUUAUUGGGCGUAAAGGGCGCGUAGGCGGACGUGCAAGUCUGGUGUGAAAGACCGCAGCUCAACUGCGGGCACGCACUGGAAACUGCAUAUCUUGAAUCCUUGAGGGGGAACUGGAAUUCCUGGUGUAGGGGUGAAAUCUGUAGAUAUCAAGAAGAACACCGGUGGCGAAGGCGAGUUCCUGGCCAGUGAUUGACGCUGAGGCGCGAAAGCGUGGGGAGCGAACAGGAUUAGAUACCCUGGUAGUCCACGCCGUAAACGAUGUGCACUAGGCGUUGGGGUGUUGAAACCUCAAUGGCGGACCUAACGUGGUAAGUGCACCCCCCUGGGGAGUAUGCCGGGCACCGGGGAAACCCAAAUGAAUGGGCC
rnacentral:rRNA from 1 species